UACGGAGGAUGCGAGCGUUAUCCGGAUUUAUUGGGUUUAAAGGGUGCGUAGGCGGCUUUUUAAGUCAGCGGUGAAAUUUUGCAGCAUAACUGUAACAGUGCCGUUGAUACUGGGGAGCUAGGAUUUGGUUGCUGUGGGUGGAAUGUGUGGUGUAGCGGUGAAAUGCUUAGAGAUCACACAGAAUAUCGAUUGCGAAGGCAGCUCACAAAGCCAAGAUUGACGCUGGGGCACGAAAGUGUGGGGAUCAAACAGGAUUA
rnacentral:rRNA from 1 species